AAGUGACAUGCCGGCUGCUUCUCUUCUCCUUCGCCUGGCUCGACUCUCUCUCUUCUUCAACUAAAUUGCCUCGCCCGGGGUCUCACUUCCGAAGCGUCUGAUUAGAAAAACGCGGCCUUGAUGCAUGCACUUUUAAUUUGCCCACAACAAGCGCGCACACACACACAUUUAUCCUCCCUAUAACCCUUCCAUGGAUUAGUCCAGAUAUGGCCAUAGCUAUCAGGGGUUCAAAUCAACUCCAAAGCCUCUGAAUUUAACAAAGCUUACUGUUGCAAUUACUGCGUCUGCUUUUUAGCUUUUCCUCGUUUUAUUGAGCGAAUCACGUUGUUGUUCGUAGGUCGUCACAGCGCAGAGGAGUUUAAUAUGUUAGCCUAGCCUGACCCUGGCAGCCCGCAUAUUGACUUAUUUUCCAAAUGUAGAGCGUGAAUGCAUAUGCUAAUAUGCUAACAGAACACAUGAGAGAUUCCUGCGUGAAAUGUUUUUAAUGAGCUGGAAAUUAGAGGGAUUUGGAGCACAUUUCCUUUGGUAAAGCUGUCGUGACAGUUUACUGUAGAUGCAGUAUGUGUGUUUGUGCUUUUUCCAUGCAGGGGUCCUGAAGAAGGUCAGGGAUGAAAUGGAGGUGACGGCAGCAGAAGACAAAGCCGCUACUGAUCUUGUGCCGCAAAGCACAGAGGUGGUGUGCCUGGAGUUUGGUUGGAGGGCUGCAUUCAGAGCCCUUGUUCCUCAGAUGGCUCACUGUGUGAAGGUGGUGCUGGAUGACGUUUGCAAUAAGAAUCUGCAGCAGGAGGAAGCCACACAUGCAUUGGGCUCUGCCGACAUCCUCGUCACCCCUGUUACCCAUAGUCAUGGCCCAGAAAGAGACUCUCCCAGGAUGGUGGCCAAGGUAACAUCAGUGGUUUAUAUAUUCAAUGAACAAUCCUAUUUUCUUAUGUUUAAAAAUGUAAUCUUAGCUGAAUAGAAGUAUAAGUUUCUUUCAAAAAGCGCAUUACUUACAAAAUUAAUUUAAUUAAAUUAUAACUUAUAGUCAACUAAUAUUUAAUAUGCUUAUUAGAGUAUGUUUAUUUUAAGCUUAGAAACAUGCUAUUGUCACACUCUGUCAGAAUAAAUUGUGUGUCAUGUUUCUUGUUCUUUGUCUGAGUUCUGCCAACCUUUAAGUAUCUUAUGGAUUAGGAUGCAUCUUCUCAGCAAUGCCAGGCAGCUCACUAGGUUUCGGAACAGAGUUGUAGAGGAAGGUAUUUGUGAUGCAUUUGCAAAUAUUUCUUUUCUCUUUUGAAAUACUUCAGUGGUUCACAGUGACAUGACAUGUCUGCUCGUCCUGAGCAGGCACCGUGGCUGCAGGAGCCUCUCUGGUCCUGUGGGGUUUGUUCUGCGGCCCAGUGUUUUGCCUCAUUUUAUCCCUCAUCACGGAGGUUCCCCGUCUGAGACGAGCUCCACUCGCUGCAGCUCAGGCAGAUUGAUGAGCCGUCACAGCCUCAAAGGACAGCCUCUGAGCUGUGAUAGGAUGCAGGUGUUUCGGCCCCUGCAUGCCUCCUGCACCUGCCCUUUUUUCUUGUUAAAAACAUGUCCACAAUAGACCAAAGUUUUGUAGAAUGAAACUUAAGCAAAGUUUACAAUGUACACACACACUUUCAUUUACAUUGCAUAUUGUGCAUUACCGUUGGAGGGUUUGGAAGGAAAAGGGUCAUUUAUUAUAAUUUUUAUUUCUUUUUUUGUUCUCUGAGGUCCACUUAUAAUGUUAUCAAUAUAUAUAUAUCUAUAUAUAUAUAUCUAUCUAUAUAUAUAUAUAUAUUUACAUAUUAUAUAUAUAUUUUUUAUUUUAUAUUUGUAUCGUUAUUUACAAUACUUGGUGGGUGUGGCUAAACAGGCAUCGAUGUAGAAGCAGGCGUUGAUUUUCUUCAGAAGAGGUGGAAGCGAAGGUUAUCCAAUCUGUUACAUCAUAAAGUGGCACAUUCCACAACCUGUCGUUUUGGCAGAUUGGCUUCAAUAUAAGUUGUUUUUAGAC
ensembl:lncRNA